rnacentral:lncRNA from 1 species
CAGAACUGCUCAUCACGCUUUGCAGUGGAAUUGUUGCUUGGCCUUGAGCUGUUAGCCUGGUUCAGAAGCUUCGGGUUGUGCUAUCCCAGAGGUGAACCAUGGUCUAAGUAACUGCGAGGAGAUACCAUGAACCCCUGAGUACAUGAUGAAGAAGCAAGAAGAGAAAGAAGCCAAUACAAGAAGCAUUAGUGAUCAGGCUACCUCUGGGCACAGGCCACUGGUGCUUCUUUGAUCUUCCGGAUAGCAGCUUCAUUAUACGGCUUGUGGAAAUACAUGGAAUAGAAAUGGAAGAAAAACAUGGAAUAGAAAUGGAAGAAAAACAUGGAAUAGAAAUGGAAGUAAGUAUGAUUUGGGUGAAUUACGUUCC